UAUGAUUUAUUCAUAUCAAUAAUCACUUUGAAGAUCAAGGGCAUGCAUAGGCAGAGGCGUGGUCCUAUAUAAACUAGAGCACUCGUCCUAUAGUCACCACUUGAGAAGUCUCUAGUACCAACAACAUGUUCUACAAACUGUUCGCCCUUUUCGCCCUCUUCGCCGUGGCCUUCGCCGCCCCGGAGCCCAAGGCGGAGCCCCAGGUGCUGACGUACUCCCCCGGCAUCUACGGCGCGUAUUACGGUGCCCCCGGCGUCGUGGCGCCCUACGCCGCGCUGCCCUACGCCUACAACCCUUACCUCAUACGUUAAUCCGCCCCUGACAGCAUUAAUAUAUCUGCAUGUUAAAAUUAGUUCUAUUAAUUGUAAGUACAAUACAUACAAUUAAUACAACCAAUCCCCAAAAUGACUAUGGCUAUUCAAACACCGUGAUUUUUCAAUAAAUUUUAUUCUGGCA